GUGACAUAGGUUGACGGAGCUUGCAUCAGGCCAGUAGGAGCUCGAAACACGCGCUCCAAGUAGGAGUGCUCGAGUCGUCUCAAGAAUGUAGCGAUUAUUUCGCUCAGCAAUACCAUUCUGCUGAGGUGUCUGAGGAUAGAUGUUUCAUGAAUCAGUCCGUGAUGAUGAAAAUACUCACGGAACUACUGAUUUACAUACUCACCACCAUUAUCGAACCUAAGAAUCUGAAGCUUAGCUGAGAAUUGAGUUCGAAUCAUAUCAUGAAAAGAUCGAAACACAGUAAAGACUUCAUCCUUAUUUUUUAAUAAAUAUAGCCAAGUCAUUCGGGUGCAGUCAUCAACAAAAAACACAAACCAGCGAAAACCAAACAAAGUAGCCUUCGGGAAAGGCCGCCACACAUCAGAGUGAACUAAAGCAAAUGGAACUUCACUUUUAUUGAUACGUAAUGGAUAAGGUACUCGAUGACUCUUGGCUAAAAUGCAAGUCUCACAUUUAAAAUCUGAAACACAUAGUUCUGAAAAUAAAGUAGGAAACAAAUGCUGCAAAUAACCAAAUGAAAGAUGACCUAACCGAUGGUGCCAUAACCAAAUUUGUUCCACCUUGGUACCACUAGGUUGACCGACAUGAUGUACUCG
rnacentral:lncRNA from 1 species